rnacentral:ncRNA from 1 species
UGGGGAGUACGUUCGCAAGAAUGAAACUCAAAGGAAUUGACGGGGGCCCGCACAAGCGGUGGAGCAUGUGGUUUAAUUCGAUGAUACGCGAGGAACCUUACCAGGGCUUAAAUGUAGUCUGACAGAUUUGGAAACAGAUUUUUCUUCGGACAGAUUACAAGGUGCUGCAUGGUUGUCGUCAGCUCGUGCCGUGAGGUGUCAGGUUAAGUCCUAUAACGAGCGCAACCCCUGUGGUUAGUUGCCAGCGAGUCAAGUCGGGAACUCUAGCCAGACUGCCGGUGCAAACCGUGAGGAAGGUGGGGAUGACGUCAAAUCAUCACGGCCCUUACGUCCUGGGCCACACACGUGCUACAAUGGUAGGUACAGAGAGCAGCCACGUCGCAAGGCGGAGCGAAUCUAUAAAACCUAUCACAGUUCGGAUCGGGGUCUGCAACUCGACCCCGUGAAGCUGGAAUCGCUAGUAAUCGCAUAUCAGCCAUGAUGCGGUGAAUACGUUCCCGGGCCUUGUACACACCGCCCGUCAAGCCAUGGAAGCUGGGGGUACCUGAAGUCCGUCACCGCAAGGAGCGGCCUAGGGUAAGACCGGUAACUGGGGCUAAGUCGUAACAAGGUAGCCGUACCGGAAGGUGCGGCUG